UACGUAGGGUCCGAGCGUUGUCCGGAAUUAUUGGGCGUAAAGCGCGCGCAGGCGGUCCUUUAAGUCUGAUGUGAAAGCCCACGGCUCAACCGGGGAGGGUCAUUGGAAACUGGGAGACUUGAGUGCAGAAGAGAAGAGUGGAAUUCCACGUGUAGCGGUGAAAUGCGUAGAGAUGUGGAGGAACACCAGUGGCGAAGGCGACUCUUUGGUCUGUAACUGACGCUGAGGCGCGAAAGCGUGGGGAGCAAACAGG
rnacentral:rRNA from 1 species